GUGGGGAAUCUUGCGCAAUGGGCGAAAGCCUGACGCAGCCAUGCCGCGUGAAUGAUGAAGGUCUUAGGAUUGUAAAAUUCUUUCACCGGGGACGAUAAUGACGGUGCCCGGAGAAGAAGCUCCGGCUAACUUCGUGCCAGCAGCCGCGGUAAUACGAAGGGGGCUAGCGUUGCUCGGAAUUACUGGGCGUAAAGGGCGCGUAGGCGGACAGCUUAGUCAGAGGUGAAAGCCCAGGGCUCAACCUUGGAAUUGCCUUUGAUACUGGCUGUCUUGAGUUUGGGAGAGGUGAGUGGAACGCCGAGUGUAGAGGUGAAAUUCGUAGAUAUUCGGAAGAACACCAGUGGCGAAGGCGACUCACUGGCCCAAUACUGACGCUGAGGCGCGAAAGCGUGGGGAGCAAACAGGAUUAGAUACCCGUGUAGUCC
rnacentral:rRNA from 1 species